UACGGGGGGUGCAAGCGUUGUCCGGAUUUAUUGGGUUUAAAGGGUGCGUAGGUGGCUAGGUAAGUCCGGGGUGAAAGACGGCCGCUCAACGGUCGCAGGGCCCUGGAUACUGCCCAGCUCGAGUGCGGAUGAGGUGGGCGGAAUCUACGAAGUAGCGGUGAAAUGCAUAGAUAUCGUAGAGAACUCCGAUUGGGAAGCCAGCUCACUGGGCCGUUACUGACACUGAGGCACGAAAGCGUGGGGAUCAAACAGG
rnacentral:rRNA from 1 species